GGAUGCGCCUCCGACCCCUCGCUCCAGCAAGCCUUGCUCCACCUUGGAGCUGCAGCAAGGAGAGGGGCCGUCGUGCUCCUGCUUAGCCAGGCUGACUUUUACGAGGCCUUUCUCCGGAAAUAAGAAGUAUGGUAAAGCGAGGUGAUCUUCCCCCGCGGCUGCUGGUGUGGAUUAUGGAGCUGGCAGCAGCAGGAACGCAUUAAGGAAAGCUCCCAGCAAUGGCUUUCCAGAAAGGUCUUCGGAAGCCUCCCCCUGCUGCCUUCAUGCCGGCAGCAUCAUUUUUCAAGGCCCUCUCCCCGUUCUGGCGGGACGCGGAUACGGGAGGCUUUGUGCAGACCUGAUGCCCGGGCAGGAGGCGCCUCUGCUGCAGCCGCAGCCCUGUUGGGUUGGAUCCCAUCCCUGCGGGCAUGGGGUGGAAUGAUGCUGGUGGCAGUCCCAAACAUCUGGGAGUCUCACAGGACCCAAAUAGGAACCUUACGAGCCGUCACAUCCUAUUUACGGACAAGGCGCAGAAGAAGUUGCCUACAGCUGACAAAUAAACCUUGGAGUGUCAAUGA